GGCUUUGUAGCUCAGCUGGCAGAGCGCUUGCUGCAUUGAUGCACGGUGUUUCUGUCGCUGGUUCGAAUCCAGCCGAAGCCC
rnacentral:tRNA from 1 species